GCAACGAGCGCAACCCUAUCAUCUGUUGCCAGCAUUUAAGGUGGGGAGUCAGAUGAGACUGCCGGUGACAAACCGGAGGAAGUGGGGACGACGUCAAGUCAUCAUGGCCCUUAUGUCCUGGGCUACACACGUGCUACAAUGGCCGGUACAGAGUGAAGCGAAACCGCGAGGUGAAGCAAAACGCAGAAAGCCGGUCUCAGUACGGAUUGGAGUCUGAAACUCGACUUCAUGAAGUUGGAAUCGCUAGUAAUCGCGCAUCAGCAUGGCGCGGUGAAUACGUUCCCGGGCCUU
rnacentral:rRNA from 1 species